GCAGCAAAAAGGAAGCCCAGAGCCGAAAGACAGCGCGACUCCGCGGGGGGCACCGCAUUGCCCAGGGCAGCAGCAGCCGCUGCCCCUCGUCCGUCACGGGGUGGCGAGCCCUGGAGCUGUGGGGUCUGAACUGAGCCGCUUGUGCAAGGACUUCGUGUGAGCAGAACGUAAAAUACCCCAUUAGUGACCUCCGUUUGCUCCACCCCGGAACGGCACGACCCUGUCUAGAGAGGAGGAGCGUCAUUCCUCAGGUGACUCUCCCCUGGCUGCGAGAACACGUGGCCUCCCUGGGCCGCACCGUGCCGGCCCAGGGGUGCAGAGGGCUGGGAGCGGGCCUGGGGAGUCACAGCUGCCCCCCAGCACCUUCUCAGGCUCACUGCCACGCUGUCCCCUGACCCUGCCCUGUGUUCCCCUGUGUCCAGACGUGAGACUUCCACAUUCAGGCACACACAUGCAGAGACACGCAGGCACACACACACAGGCACACACGGCCCAGGCUCCUCUCCACGCCAGGAGCCCCCAGCUCUGCCAAGCCAGACUCCCAGGGCACCCACAGACCUUCCAGGAGCCCUCUCCUCCACGAAGAUCAAAGAUUGCAUUUUACUACCACGUCGCAUUCGAGACCGCUGUAACCCAGGCUGAUUCGUGAUUACAUAUGUUCAUCGUGUUUAUAGUUUUUCUUCUGAUUGUAAAAGAAGUUAAAAUUAAGGCUUUUUGUGGCCCUCAGUGUUGGGCCUGGGGGCAGGGGGCCAGGAGCAGCCCCACCGUCCUGCUCCCUCUCAGAGGCGUUCCCCAAACCCUGCCCCAGUGCCCAAGGGUGCAGCCCCCGCCAGACACCAGAAAGCAUCCUCCAUUAUUUUCCAACACAGAAAUCCACGAUGAGAAUGGCCCAGGAGCCCGACACUGCCCAAGGCCGCGUGUCAGUGUGGACCAAGCCUGGAGGAGCACCGCACUGGGGCUCGGGCACUACCUUCAGCCCCGAGAGGGGGAGCCGGGAGCAGGCGAUGACAGCCUGGGCAGCGCCAGGCACCGGGCACCAAGACCUCCCGGCUCCAACCCGCCUCUGCCCCGUGCUCAGGAGGCCUGGCUUCCCGCACACCCCGAGAAAGGCAUCUGGCGCUUCCCUUGGGGCCAGGGCCCGGGCAGGCCAGGCCCUCCUGUGGACGGGUGGUGGGUGCAGGAGAUGGUUAAAAUUCUGCAUCCCUUUCGCAUCCGCCUCCGGAGGAAGCUCCGCUUUUUUUUCCCCCCAAGCAGGAGGGGGAAGAGCUGAGAGCAGCAAUUUGCAGGCCUGGAGAUGUUUUUCUCCUUGACAGCCUGGCCCCGCCUGCUCGGGGCUGCCUGCUGGCCAGCCGGGCUGCAGCGGCUGCGGCUCUUGGUGUCUGCCGCUCCCGCUGGGCCUCCCCGCGGAGCCCGGGCCAGGCCGCAGCAGGAGAGAGGCCGGCCCGGGCCAGGCGGGCUGCGGGUACGGCCUUGGUGCCCGCCUCCUCUGUCAGCCUGCCUCUCCCCCCCGACCAGGCCCGCGCCCAGCGCAGCCGCACCGCCUGCUGCCUGCUUAGUGCCCACCCUGCGCCCUCCGGGGGUGCCCUCACCUUCUGGGCCCCCGGGGCCCCGGCCUCGGGUCCUGCGUGUGCUCAGGGCGCCCAGCCACGUCCUCGGCGCCUCUGCCGCACGCCCCACCCUGCUGCCCGCGCUCGGCGGCGAGCCUGGCGUGGUGCCAGGCCGCCUGGGAGCCCAGCCCGGGCAGGGCGAACUUUCCAGCAAGGACGCUGACACUGAGGGCAGGGCCUGAGCGGGCACGGAAGUGCCUCCUGGACGCCGGGUGGGCCGGGCAGCUUCCCCCAGAGAGACUGAACUUCUGGAUGCCACAGGCUCCGCAUCAACAGGAAGCCAGAUCUGGGACUCCAAUCCAGGCACCCAGUGGGGGACCCAGGACCUCAACUCACCCCAGCACCACCACCCGAAUCUGCGGGUGCAGAACCUGAGGCUGCAGAGGGCAGACUAUACCGAGUAACCUCGCCUUACCGUAGGUUGUAAACGUCUACAUUCAUACCAUGUACUUACAGUUACAAUGUAACCUUUAGAUAUUUACAUACACAUGUUUACACCCAUCAGGCCACACAGCAGGUUAUUUCAGAAUCUUUUUAACAUCUUGUGAGAAGUCUGUUAUUAAAUGCUUUUUCUCGGGCCUGCGCUGCGGGUUCAUGCGCUGGCUUGAAGCACCGGCAUCCCACGUGGGCGCCCGUUUAAGACCUGGCUGCUUCACUUCUGAUCCAGCUCCCUGCUAAUGCACCUGGGAAAGCAGUGGAAGAUGGGCCAAGUCCUUGGGCCCCUGCACCCAUGUGGGAGACCAGGAAGAAGCUCCUGGCUUUGGAUGGGCACAGCUCUGGCUGUUGCGGCCAUUUGGGGAGUGAACCAGUAGAUGGAAGACCUCUCUGUCUGUCUCUACCUCUCUGUAACUCUGUCUUUCAAAUAAAUAGACCUUUGUUGGGUU